rnacentral:sRNA from 1 species
GGGCUUGUACUGGUUUCGACGGGGGUUUUGAAGUCGAGGAAGCCAUCCGUGGCCCGGACCACGUAAAAACCGGAACUUAAAAUUAAACGCUGACAACAAUACAGUUGCAGUAGCAGCCUAAAUGCUGCUCGUCGGCCCGGUUGUACCCGUACUUCCGGUAACCGGCGUUAUGAUUACGGGAAACGAUGCAGGCAAAGCUUUGCGUCUGCAGGCGUAUUAUGAAGCUACUGAUUCCGGAAGGACGCUGUUCGCCGUCCGGAUGAGGGAAUGUAAAAGGAACGGCUGUGAUGGGAGAUGCCUUGAUGGAGGGGCUUUCGGACGCGGGUUCGAUUCCCGCCAGGUCCAU